rnacentral:rRNA from 1 species
GACGAACGCUGGCGGCAUGCCUAAUACAUGCAAGUCGAGCGGAGUUGAUAGAAAGCUUGCUUUCUUGAUACUUAGCGGCGGACGGGUGAGUAACACGUAGGCAACCUGCCCUCAAGCUUGGGACAACUACCGGAAACGGUAGCUAAUACCGAAUACUUGUUUUCUUCGCCUGAAGGAAACUGGAAAGACGGAGCAAUCUGUCACUUGGGGAUGGGCCUGCGGCGCAUUAGCUAGUUGGUGAGGUAACGGCUCACCAAGGCGACGAUGCGUAGCCGACCUGAGAGGGUGAUCGGCCACACUGGGACUGAGACACGGCCCAGACUCCUACGGGAGGCAGCAGUAGGGAAUCUUCCGCAAUGGGCGAAAGCCUGACGGAGCAAUGCCGCGUGAGUGAUGAAGGUUUUCGGAUCGUAAAGCUCUGUUGCCAGGGAAGAACGCUUGGGAGAGUAACUGCUCCCAAGGUGACGGUACCUGAGAAGAAAGCCCCGGCUAACUACGUGCCAGCCGCCGCAGUAA